rnacentral:misc_RNA from 1 species
AGACGUUACUGCCCUCUUGCGUGCCCCGGCCACCCCCGGGCGGCUUGUAGCCGGUGCGCGGGGUGGCUGGGGCUACGUGCAGAGCUGUCGCGGAGCCGGAGCAGCAGCGGUGAAGCCCCUCGGCUCGGCCGAGACCGCCGUGCCCAUUGCUCGCCUCGGUUGCCGCCGCUUUAGCCGCAGCCGCUGCUGCCGCCGCCGGGGGAGAGGCAGCCUAUUGUCUUUCUCCGCGGCGAAGGUGAGGAGCUGUCUCGGCUCGGCCCGCGGGGGAGCCCCGGGAGCCGCACGGAGAUGGAGGAGGACAUCUGGACAGUGAGCAGGAGGCGCUUCGGCCCAUGCCGAACAUCCCAGGGGACCUGGAGAGCCGGGAGGCCAUGGUGGCAUUUUUCAACUCCGCUGGAGCCAAUGCCCAGGAGGAACAAAGGGUGUGCUGCCAGCCCCUGGCUCACCCAGUGGCCUCGUCCCAGAAAAAGCCAGAGGAAAGUACAUCAGCCAGGGGGCAGUGUCAGAGACGCAGCACUGGGAGAGGAGGACAUCGUCAGGCUGGCCCAGGACCAGGAGGAGAUGAAGGUGAACCUGCAGGAGCUGCGGGGCAGGUGUUGCAGCUUGUGGGAGACCACAAGGAGGGGCAUGGCAAAUUCUGACCAUUGCCCAGAACCCUGCUGAUGAGCCCACUCUAGGAGCCCCAAUAGCCCAGGAGCUUGGGUGUGCUGACGAGCAGGGUGAUCACCACUGGAUUGCUGACAGAUAGAGGACGUGGGACCGUGACUAUCACCCCUAAUCUGCAGUGGAUUUGGCUCUCGGCACUCCCAGGCUGGGAGCUGGAUACCUGCCCUGGCAGCAUGACUCAGACUGCAUGACAGUCACAGACUCGCCUCUGCUCCUGUGGUCCAGUGGCCGGACACCCCCUGGGAUGGCUCAAAGGAGUCAGGACUUGGAAGUGGGGACAUCAGGGUAGCUGAAGGAAAUCCACACACCCAGAGCAUCUCGGAGUUCAGACUCUCAGACCUGAAGUAGGCGCCCCCGGGACUGGGCUAGGAGUUGGACGGAAUGGAGGAUGGAGGACAGCGAGAAGAAAGGAAGAGAAAUGCAACGUGUGGGCAGCCGCCAAGAGUGAAAAUAGAGGGAAGUGUCAUGCAAGUGCUGGACAGAAGGCGGCAGGUGGGACGAGCCCCACAGCCCCCUCCUCAAAAACGACCACCUCCAGGACUCAGUGAUCCCUGGGGGGCAGGCUCUGCCAGCCCUCGGCCACACGUGGCUCCGGCACCCAUGGUCCCAGUGCCUUGGAUGGAGACGGCCAGUUCUGGCGGCCAGAUGUGGUGCUCUGGAAUCCAGUCCCAUUUCCUUCCUGG